AUGGUUAAGCUACUAAGAGCGCACGGAGGAUGCCUAGGCGCCAGAAGCCGAUGAAGGACGUGGCGAACCACGAUAGGCCUCGGGGAGCUGUAAGCAAGCGUUGAUCCGGGGAUUUCCGAAUGGGGAAACCCAGCUGGGGUAAUGCCCAGUUACGAUAGCGUGAAUUCAUAGCGCUAUGUGAGGCAUACCAGGGGAACUGAAACAUCUAAGUACCCUGAGGAAGAGAAAACAAUAGUGAUUCCGUCAGUAGCGGCGAGCGAACGCGGAUUAGCCCAAACCAGGGGGCUUGCCCCCUGGGGUUGUGGGACGUCUCACACGGAGUUACAAAGGAACAGGUUAGGCGAAGAGGUCUGGAAAGGCCCGCCACAGCAGGUAAAAGCCCUGUAGCUCAAAGCCUGCUCCCUCCGAGACGGAUCCCGAGUACCGCGAGACACGUGAAACCUCGUGGGAAUCCGGCAGGACCAUCUGCCAAGGCUAAAUACUCUCUGGCGACCGAUAGUGAAGCAGUACCGUGAGGAAAGGUGAAAAGCACCGCGGGAGCGGAGUGAAAUAGAACCUGAAACCGUGCGCUUACAACAAGUCAGAGCCCGUUUUAGGGGUGAUGGCGUGCCUUUGUAGAAUGAACCGGCGAGUUACGUUCACGUGCAAGGUUAAGUCGGGAAGACGGAGCCGCAGCGAAAGCGAGUCUGAAUAGGGCGCUUCAGUACGUGGGUGUAGACCCGAAACCGGGUGAUCUACCCCUGUCCAGGGUGAAGGUGCGGUAACACGCACUGGAGGCCCGAACCCACGAAUGUUGAAAAAUUCGGGGAUGAGGUGGGGGUAGCGGAGAAAUUCCAAUCGAACUCGGAAAUAGCUGGUUCUCCCCGAAAUAGCUUUAGGGCUAGCCUCGGUGUCGAGCAUGCUGGAGGUAGAGCACUGAUUGGGUGCGGGGCCCGCCAAGGGUUACCAAGUCCAGUCAAACUCCGAAUGCCAGUCAUGUAUAACCGGGAGUCAGACGGUGAGUGCUAAGAUCCAUCGUCAAGAGGGAAACAGCCCAGAUCAUCAGCUAAGGUCCCCCAGUGUGUGUUAAGUGGGAAAGGAUGUGGAGUUGCCCAGACAACCAGGAUGUUGGCUUAGAAGCAGCCACCAUUUAAAGAGUGCGUAAUAGCUCACUGGUCGAGUGACUCUGCGCCGAAAAUGUAACGGGGCUAAACACACCACCGAAGCUAUGGCAUGUACCAAUGGGUACUUGGGUAGGGGAGCGUUGUGUAUAGGUUGAAGUCAGACCGCAAGGACUGGUGGACAGUACACAAGUGAGAAUGCCGGUAUGAGUAACGAAAAGAUCAGUGAGAAUCUGAUCCGCCGUAAGCCUAAGGGUUCCUGAGGAAGGUUCGUCCGCUCAGGGUAAGUCGGGACCUAAGGCGAGGCCGAAAGGCGUAGUCGAAGGACAACAGGUUGAUAUUCCUGUACCACCGUCAGCCGUUACGAGCAAUGGGGUGACGCAGAAGGGUAGUGACGCGGACCGAUGGAUGUGUCCGUCAAGCAGUGAGGCUGGUUUGUUGGCAAAUCCGCAAACCGUACGGCUGGGCUGUGAUGGGGAGGGAAACUUAUAGUACCGAAGGUCAUGAUCUCCGGCUGCCAAGAAAAGCCUCUAGCCAGGCGAAGGUGCCCGUACCGCAAACCGACACAGGUAGGCGAGCAGAGCAUGCUAAGGCGCGCGGAGUAACUCUCGUUAAGGAACUCGGCAACAUGACCCCGUAACUUCGGGAGAAGGGGUGCCUCGGUAGGGUGAAUAGCCCGAGGGGGCCGCAGUGAAAAGGCCCAAGCGACUGUUUAGCAAAAACACAGGUCUGUGCGAAGCCGUAAGGCGAAGUAUACGGGCUGACGCCUGCCCGGUGCUGGAAGGUUAAGGGGAGCGGUUAGGGGCAACCCGAAGCUGUGAACCGAAGCCCCAGUAAACGGCGGCCGUAACUAUAACGGUCCUAAGGUAGCGAAAUUCCUUGUCAGGUAAAUUCUGACCCGCACGAAUGGCGUAACGACUUGGGCGCUGUCUCAACGAGAGAUCCGGUGAAAUUUUACUACCUGUGAAGAUGCAGGUUACCCGCGACAAGACGGAAAGACCCCAUGGAGCUUUACUGCAGCUUGAUAUUGGACUUUGGUACGAUCUGUACAGGAUAGGUGGGAGCCUAGGAAUCCGGAGCGCCAGCUUCGGAGGAGGCGCCGUUGGGAUACCACCUGAUCGUAUCGGAGUUCUAACCUGGCACCGUGAAACCGGUGCAGGGACCGUGUCAGGCGGGCAGUUUGACUGGGGCGGUCGCCUCCUAAAAUGUAACGGAGGCGCCCAAAGGUUCCCUCAGAAUGGUUGGAAAUCAUUCGCAGCGUGCAAAGGCAUAAGGGAGCUUGACUGCGAGACCUACAAGUCGAGCAGGGACGAAAGUCGGGCUUAGUGAUCCGGUGGUACCGAAUGGAAGGGCCAUCGCUCAACGGAUAAAAGCUACCCUGGGGAUAACAGGCUUAUCUCCCCCAGAGUCCACAUCGACGGGGAGGUUUGGCACCUCGAUGUCGGCUCAUCGCAUCCUGGGGCUGAAGUAGGUCCCAAGGGUUGGGCUGUUCGCCCAUUAAAGCGGUACGCGAGCUGGGUUCAGAACGUCGUGAGACAGUUCGGUCCCUAUCUGUCGUGGGCGCAGGAAAUUUGAGAGGAGCUGUCCUUAGUACGAGAGGACCGGGAUGGACGUACCGCUGGUGUACCAGUUGUUCCGCCAGGAGCACCGCUGGGUAGCUACGUACGGACGGGAUAAGCGCUGAAAGCAUCUAAGCGCGAAGCCCCCCUCAAGAUGAGAUUUCCCAGUAUGUAAGACCCCUGGUAGACGACCAGGUUGAUAGGCUCGAGGUGGAAGCGCGGCAACGUGUGCAGCUGACGAGUACUAAUCGGUCGAGGGCUUAUCCUAUU
rnacentral:rRNA from 1 species